rnacentral:lncRNA from 1 species
UUUUUCUGGAGUGCCUACAUAUGUUGUUCAAACAUGUGACAUCACAUGGGUCCUGGCAGUAGGACACAGCUGACUCCUGGUAACUUGAGUACCAGGAAAUGGUGAUACCAAAUGAGAGCAGUGCCGGGGAGGGGCGGGGGGGGGGGGGGUGCUUCCUGCUGAGACACUGCCAAACCUCAGAGGGAAAACAAAAAAGGUCACGGGUCACCUACAAGAAAAAAAAGACAGCUGUAAAAAGAAAUGUGACUUUAACAACUUUAUUUUCAGGUUGAAAUCCUAGUAAUUGCCAUGAUUUAUGAGUCAGCCUAGGGUCUAGGUGUCUCAUUAUAGUUUUUUUUUUUUAACUUUUUUAAAUUUAUUUUUUAUUUAUUCAUGAGAGACACACAGAGAGAGAGAGGGAGAGACACAGGCAGAGGGAGAAGCAGGCUCCAUGCAGGGAACUUGAUGUGGGACUCCAUCCGGGUCUUCAGGAUCACACCCUGGGCUGAAGGCGGCACUAAACCGCCAAGCCCCUCAGGCUGCCCACAUACACUAUUUCUAAUUUUUACAGAAUUACUCAAGGUAAACAUUCUUACUCUCAUUUUAUAAAUGAAACAAGUUCAGAGGAAGAUUAGGGAUUUAAACCCAGCCUUGACCCUUUCCCCCCUCAUGCCACCCUGCCUUCCACUUUAGACAAGAAAUAUGAAGUAUUAAAAACUGACCUUGGAGAAUGUGAUUAAUAUUAUGUGUCAAUUUAGCUGACCAUGGUGCCCAGUUAUGUGAUCAACUACCAUUCUGGAUGUUUCUGUGAGAGUGUUUUUGGUUGAGAGAUUAACAUUUAAAUUGAUAUACCAAAGCAGAUUGCCCUCCAUCAUAUGGGUGGGGCUCAUCUAAUUGAAGACAUGCAUUGACCAGACAGACUGACCUCCCCUGAGCCAGGAGAAAUUCCACCAGGAUUGGGCAUUCAGACUUCAAGUGCAGCGUCAGAGCUACUCCUUGGGUCUUCUUUCUGCAGGCCCACGCUGCAGAUUUGGGAGAAAACUGUUCUCAGAGAUGAAUGCUGGUAGAUUACAAACCAAAGGAACCAGAGAGAAAGUUGAUACACCGCUAUAGGCUGUUCUGAACUGCUUUCCUGCAGCUUCUGGGGUUUCUCUGUGAAUGGCACAGGGGUAAGUGAGCCAUGCAAAGAUGCCGAGGUCAGACUAGUGGACUCUCUUCUUCCCAGUUUGUAAAUAUGCACCUGUGUCAGAGUU